rnacentral:rRNA from 1 species
UACGAAGGGGGCUAGCGUUGUUCGGAAUCACUGGGCGUAAAGGGCGCGUAGGCGGCCGAUCAAGUCGGGGGUGAAAGCCUGUGGCUCAACCACAGAAUGGCCUUCGAUACUGUUUGGCUUGAGACCGGAAGAGGUCAGUGGAACUGCGAGUGUAGAGGUGAAAUUCGUAGAUAUUCGCAAGAACACCAGUGGCGAAGGCGGUUGACUGGUCCGGUUCUGACGCUGAGGCGCGAAAGCGUGGGGAGCAAACAGG